AGGGAAUAGAUACCCGGGUAGUCCUGGCAGUAAACGGUGCACGUUUGGUGUGGGCGCAAUCGACCGCGUCCGCGCCGGAGCUAAACGCGUUAAACGUGCCGCCUGGGAAGUACGGUCGCAAGAUUAAAACUCAAAGAAAUUGACGGGGACCCGCACAAGCGGUGGAGUAUGUGGCUUAAUUCGAUGCAACGCGAAGAACCUUACCUGGUCUUGACAUGCAUUGUGUCUCCGGUGAAAGCCGGAUAGGGUAGCAAUACCCGCUUUGCACAGGUGCUGCAUGGCUGUCGUCAGCUCGUGUCGUGAGAUGUUGGGUUAAAGUCCCGCAACGAGCGCAACCCCUGUGAUUUGUUGCCACCGGCUUAUGCCGAGCACUCGAAUCAGACUGCCUCGAUCAACGAGGAGGAAGGUGGGGAUGACGUCAAGUCCGUAUGGCCCUUACGACCAGGGCUGCACACGUACUACAAUGCCCAGUACAAUGUGAACCGAGACCGCGAGGUGGAGGAAAUCAAUAAAA
rnacentral:rRNA from 1 species